UGGAAAUGUCAACCCACUGGUUGGAAUGGGAAGCUGCUGUGUUGUGAGCCACCUUAUGGAAAACCCAUGUGGCAGAGAACCGAGGGUGGUGGCUGGCCAACAGCAAGCCAGGAGCUGAGGCCCACAGUCCAACAACUGAGACUGGGUCCCACCAUAUUGCCUGGGCUGGCCUCGGACUCUUGACCCCAAGUGAUCCUCUGGCCUCAGCCUCCCAAGCAGCUGGAUUUACAGGCAGGCACCACCGCACCGAGCUAAAAACGCCUGGCUUCCCUGGGCCUGCUGCACCUGCUCUGGCUAGGUUGGAGAGGGCUGCAGGGAGGACCGCAGUCAGCAGAGGGCGCCAAAGCCUCUCAACACAAGCAUGGCCCAGGCCUGGCCCAGAAGGAGAGCGCUGAGAGCCAGGACUGGCGGGCUACGUGCGCCCUGUGGAUUCCCCCAUUUCCCAUGCUUCAUCCAGCCAUGGGCCUGCAGUGCACUCACAAAUGUGCAUAUACCCUCCUGUGUGUGUGUUACACUCAUCAAAUUGUCUCUGAAUUUGCUUGGCUUCAUGUGUUCCUGUGUGUGUUUAUGUGUGUGUGUGGUGUGUCUGGUGUAUCUGGUUCCCCAGGAAGCACAUUUGACAGCCCCACAGUCAGGGUCAGGGCACAGGGACAGAUACUGUGUCUAUAACAAUCCAUAACACUGAUUUUGUUCAUCUCAAUAAAUGUGAGAAUGAAAUAAAAAUUAAUGUAGAAU
rnacentral:lncRNA from 1 species